UCUCGCGCAUUCUAUCCUUCGAUCCUAAGCCUGAAACCUAACGGUUCUCACCUUGUCCUGUUAUGUGGUUUGGUGUAGACUGAUAAAUAGGAUUUUAAGUUGAGGAGAACUCUGCAGACGAGAGAAACGCAAGGAGGCUGCCACAAGUUCGAAAUUCCUAAAAGGGUAGCUUCAACAUCGAAGAAACCAGGUGACUCCUUUCAAUUUCAUGGCGAUCCUCAUAUCUUGUGUUACUUCCAAAGCCUUGGCGCUACACACAUCAGAGGAUUUUCGGCAACAGCGGAGCACUGGUAUAUCUGUAUCAUCUGUUCGCCGGCCAAUCCAUAUCGGCUUAACCACGAAGCCUCGGGGUAUCAGCCUGCCGAUAAGAAGAGCAACCCAAAUCCCAGCGGUCGGUGGAGACCCCGGAGAACUGCUAGUGCUAGGAGCCAAUCUCCCAACACCCGACUUUUCUUCAUGGGUCACGUGGCUUGUUGGUGCCUUCUUCCUUGCAGCGCCUGCUUACUGGCGAUUCAGAGCACUGGAAGAUAAGGCGGAGCAAACAGCAGAGGCGACAAUCGAGAUGGUCGAGAAGGUGGCGGAGGCGGCGGAGAGAAUCGCCGACGACGUCUCUGAAGCGUUUCCCGGUAAUGAAAGACUCAAGAAGGCAGCAUCCAGUGUCAAAGCCGUGGCAGAUGAGAUCGAAAAGGAUGUGGACAAAGCCGAGGCACUACUCCAUAAGGCUAUCAUCUGCAAACAACAAAUGGUUAACAGGCGGCACCGAUGGAGCCACUUGGAUUUUAUUGAGCCGAGACAAUUGAUGUCUGGAUUUGAGGAGGCCUGAGAGGCCCUCUGCUACUAACAAGAAAAGGUAGGGUGAAAUUGGUCUCCCUGCCGAAUACCUCUGGUGGGUUUGAACUCAUCAAGCUUCUUGCCAUUGAAUAAAAAUGAACAAGUGAUGGAGUUAACCAUACUCAUUACUAUAGAAGCCUAAAUGUUAGAGAAACCAUGCUUGAGCAUUAUUGCUUCCAAAUAUGGUCACUCAAUUCUAUCAUAUGCCUUUAUCAUGUCCAACUUAAACGCACAAUGGCGGUGUUUCGGAGCUUUGUUCUGCUUCAUAAAAUGCAAACACGCAUAGGCCACAAUUAUGUUAUCUGUGAUGAGACGCUCAGGAACAAAAGCGGACUGUUGCGAUGAGAUGGUCUCAGGAAGUACCACUUUCAACCGAUUAGCAACAACUUUGGAAGCAAUUUUAUAGAGCAUGUUGCAAAGACUAACGGGGCGAAACUUGAUCAAUGAGGAUUGCCUUCAUCACCCCAUCUCCACAAAUACCCUAGUGCUUCUGGAAGAAGUGAGCUGGGAAGGCAUUAGGACCCGGGGCCUUCGUAGAAAAAAUUUGAAACAGUGCAAUCUUUUCCUUCUUUUUUAGAGAUGGACUACUCGAAUGUUGGACAGGUGAAGCACUAAUGGACCAGAGGGUAUCCUCAUGUCAUGUUCCAUUAGUGGGGAUAGAACUAAUGGACCGGAGGGUAUCCCCAUGCCCUGUAUCUUUCGGGGAUUGGAUGGAGGAGAGAUUUUAGGCAAGUGCACGAGCGAUGUAUUAGAAAUGUAUUAAAAAUUAUUCUGCAUGUAUUAUAUUCAUCAUGUAUAAAAAUGUUCUUCAUGUUUUUCUAACGAUGUUUAUUGUGUAUUGAAAAAAUGUUAGUCAGUUGUUUAGAAAAUGUUCAUUGUGUAUUCAAAAUGU